GUCUCUUUGUUAUUUAUAAAUAAAGAGUCGGGCCUGCUCGGUGAAUAUGUAUAUAUUUUAACAGCUGCGGUAUUUUAACUGUACUAAGGUAGCAUAAUAAUUUGCCUUAUAAUUUGAGGCUAGAAUGAAUGGUUUGACGAAGGUUAAUCUGUCUCUACUCUAUUUUUUAGAAUUUAAUUUUUAUAGUGAAAAAGCUUGUAUUUUUUAAAGGGACGAGAAGACCCUAUUGAGCUUAUAAUUUUGUUAUUAUUUUGUAAUUAUUAUAUAAAUAAUAUAUAAAUUUUAAUUGGGGUGAUUGAGGAAUAAAUAUUAAAAUAGAAGUAACUUCCUUAAAUUGAAUAUUGUUGGAUAAAGUAACCAAUAUUUUAUUGCUUAUAAUAUAGUUACCAUAGGGAUAACAGCGUAAUUUAUUUAGAGAGUUCUUAUUGAAAAAUAAGAUUGCGACCUCGAUGUUGGAUUAAAGUAACCAUAAGGUGUAGAAGCUUUAAUAAGGUAAAUCUGUUCGAUUUUUAAAACUUUACA
rnacentral:rRNA from 1 species